GAUGAAGAACGCAGCGAAAUGCGAUAAGUAGUGUGAAUUGCAGAAUUCAGUGAAUCAUCGAAUCUUUGAACGCACAUUGCGCCCGCCAGCAUUCUGGCGGGCAUGCCUGUUCGAGCGUCAUUUCAACCCUCGAGCCCCCCCGGGGGCCUCGGUGUUGGGGGACGGCACACCAGCCGCCCCCGAAAUGCAGUGGCGACCUCGCCGCAGCCUCCCCUGCGUAGUAGCACACACCUCGCACCGGAGCGCGGAGACGGUCACGCCGUAAAACGCCCAACUUCUUAGAGUUGACCUCGUAUCAGGUAGGAAUACCCGCUGAACUUAAGCAUAUCAAUAAGCGGAGGA
rnacentral:misc_RNA from 1 species